UACGUAGGGGGCAAGCGUUAUCCGGAUUUACUGGGUGUAAAGGGAGCGUAGGCGGCGAUGCAAGUCAGAAGUGAAAGCCCGGGGCUCAACUCCGGGACUGCUUUUGAAACUGUAUGGCUAGAUUGCAGGAGAGGCAAGUGGAAUUCCUAGUGUAGCGGUGAAAUGCGUAGAUAUUAGGAGGAACACCAGUGGCGAAGGCGGCUUGCUGGACUGUAAAUGACGCUGAGGCUCGAAAGCGCGGGGAUCGAACAGG
rnacentral:rRNA from 1 species